GCACCCGUAGCUCAGCUGGAUAGAGCGCUGCCCUCCGAAGGCAGAGGUCUCAGGUUCGAAUCCUGACGGGUGCGCCA
rnacentral:tRNA from 4 species